UGAGCAAAAUGUCUUGUGGAUUACUGUU
rnacentral:piRNA from 1 species